GGUCCGCUCGCUCUCCGGGGCGGAAAGCUAGUCAACCGUGGGCUGGAGCUUGGAGCUGCUCUCCGGAUCCCUGCCAGUACCAGGUUCGAGAACCCUGCAUUGGACUUCCCCGGCUCUGAUAAUGGCCAACGUUAGCAUGACCUUGUGCAAGGGCUUGGGAUGGCGAAGUCAAGUUGCUGCUGGUUGAGAGGGUGACUUCAUUGGGCCACAAUUCUGGAGUUUGGGAUCUCAGCCAUGAUGGAAAAUUGGAGGGAGAGAAAGAAUGGACCAGCCUUCCUCAUCCUACAGCUUCUAUGGCAUUAGAGAAUGGACAAGAAAUAUGACACUUUGCUAUGAAAAAAAGACUUGAAAUUUGCUUUUGGAAUUGUGUAUCAGAAGGGUUUCACUUAUUGUGAAAUGAUACAAUUUUCUGUGUUUUCUCUGUUUCUUGUAGAUAAAAUGUAAUAAUUUUUGUUCUUUGCUCAGAUAGUUCUUUAAUAUAGUUUUGGAACAAAUUCACAGUUUCAAAACAAACAUCAUAUCAGAACUGACUAAAUUCAAUAGGCAAAUGGACAUGUAUUAUCCUAUAGAGGCAGUUUUGUGGCACAGCACAUAGGAUUGUGGGCCUGGAGUUAAGAAGAGCUGAGCUAAAAUCUGGCCUCAAAAAUCCUUUCUAGCUGUAUGAUCCUGUGGCAAGUCAUUUUUUUUUUGCAUCAGUUUCCCAAGAAUAAAAUGGAGCUAAUCAUAGCACCUACCUUAUAAGGUUGUUGUGAGAGUCAAAUGAAUUAAUAAUUAUAAAAUGCUUAGCAAAGUACCUGGCACAUGAGAGGUGCUAUAUGUUUUUUAAAGGGACACUGAUACUUUAUUUUUAAAGUUUUAAAAUUUUAUUUUCCCCAAAUUACAGGUAAAAACAACUUUUAAUAUUUGUUUUAAAAUUUUGAGUUCCAAAUUCUUUCUCUCCUAUUCUCUCUCCCCCUCUUCUUUGAAAAAGCAUGCAAUUUGAUAUAGGUUAUACAUGUACAGUGAUGCAAAAUCUAUUUCCAUAUUUGUCAUGUUGUAAAGAAAACAAAGACAAAAUAUCCCAAAGAAAAAUAAAGUAAUGAAAAAGUA